rnacentral:lncRNA from 1 species
AAAGUACUGUACUUACGCAUUUAUGGUAGUGGUUGUUUUAUUUGGAUUCCUUUUACAGAGAGAGAAUUCGUUGACACCUGUUUGCGCCAUCCUGACGUAGAGGGAGAACCCGUGGAAUUGCCACACUGCCCCUGACAGUGACUUGAGACUAACCCUCAACAGGUUGAAUAAUCCAAGAACACUGAUCUUCGUCUGCAAGGAAGCAAGUAAGAAACCUAUUAUGCUGUUAUCUCCUGCCAGAAAAGAACAUUCUAAUGGGAACUCAGUGUUCUGGUUUGCCAGCAUCCUCAGCAGCCAGGCCUCACAGCCCCAGUGAGGAACUUUAUGGGGACUGAAGGCUUCCUUCUCCCCUUCUCUUACGGAAACAAGGGGAGAGCCAGCUGUCUUACCAUCAGCCACAUCCAGGCACAGCAGCUCCUGGAGCCUCUCCCCGUUCUGUCCCCCUAGAUCUGCACCCAACACAGGGCAAGCCACGCAGGCCGGAAGUUCAACAACAGGACACCAUGAGAAAGGUGACAGGGCCUCAGAGGAGAAGGUGAGGGAACUUGAAGAAUCCUGAGCACGCUGGGAGGCUGU